rnacentral:rRNA from 1 species
GAUGAACGCUGACAGAAUGCUUAACACAUGCAAGUCCACUUGAAUUUGGGUUUUUACCUUAGGUUUGGGUGGCGGACGGGUGAGUAACGCGUAAAGAACUUGCCUCACAGCUAGGGACAACAUUUGGAAACGAAUGCUAAUACCUAAUAUUAUGAUAAUAGGGCAUCCUAUAAUUAUGAAAGCUAUAAGCGCUGUGAGAGAGCUUUGCGUCCCAUUAGCUAGUUGGAGAGGUAACGGCUCACCAAGGCGAUGAUGGGUAGCCGGCCUGAGAGGGUGAUCGGCCACAAGGGGACUGAGACACGGCCCUUACUCCUACGGGAGGCAGCAGUGGGGAAUAUUGGACAAUGGACCGAGAGUCUGAUCCAGCAAUUCUGUGUGCACGAUGAAGUUUUUCGGAAUGUAAAGUGCUUUCAGUUGGGAAGAAACAAAUGACGGUACCAACAGAAGAAGUGACGGCUAAAUACGUG